rnacentral:rRNA from 1 species
AAUGAACGCUGGCGGCAUGCCUAACACAUGCAAGUCGAACGAAGGCUUCGGCCUUAGUGGCGCACGGGUGCGUAACGCGUGGGAAUCUGCCCUUGGGUUCGGAAUAACAGUUAGAAAUGACUGCUAAUACCGGAUGAUGUCGUAAGACCAAAGAUCUAUCGCCCAAGGAUGAGCCCGCGUAGGAUUAGCUAGUUGGCGGGGUAAAGGCCCACCAAGGCGACGAUCCUUAGCUGGUCUGAGAGGAUGAUCAGCCACACUGGGACUGAGACACGGCCCAGACUCCUACGGGAGGCAGCAGUGGGGAAUAUUGGACAAUGGGCGAAAGCCUGAUCCAGCAAUGCCGCGUGAGUGCUGAAGGCCUUAGGGUUGUAAAGCUCUUUUACCCGGGAUGAUAAUGACAGUACCGGGAGAAUAAGCUCCGGCUAACUUCGUGCCAGCAGCCGCAGUAA